rnacentral:rRNA from 1 species
CAGUAGCCACGGGAACACAGAGGGUGCGAGCGUUAAUCGGAUUUACUGGGCGUAAAGCGUGCGUAGGCGGCUUCUUAAGUCGGAUGUGAAAUCCCUGAGCUUAACUUAGGAAUUGCAUUCGAUACUGGGAAGCUAGAGUAUGGGAGAGGAUGGUAGAAUUCCAGGUGUAGCGGUGAAAUGCGUAGAGAUCUGGAGGAAUACCGAUGGCGAAGGCAGCCAUCUGGCCUAAUACUGACGCUGAGGUACGAAAGCAUGGGGAGCAAACAGGAUUAGAUACCCGAGUAGUCCCUGUCUCUUAUAC